CAAACCUCAACCCUAGAGACAAGAGAAAAAUUGGCCGCACCUAAUUCCUUCAUUUCAAAAAACACCCAGCAUAUUCAUCCAAACAUUUUUCUGCCAAUCUCAACGAUACCAACUUCCCAUCCAUUUUACGUCCUAAUUUAGCCUUUGAUCUUUAUUCCCUUUCCUUUUUCAAAUUUAUGUUGUUUCUCUAUUUCCUUGUUCGAUGUUAAUUAUUAAAAACUUCAAUUAUUAUGGCAUAAUCUCCUAAGACCCAGAAAGGUACGGGAACGAGAGUGGGAAUUAAAAAACGAAGCAGAAAAGCAAAAGGGGGAUGGGAACGAAAAUCCAAAGAGCAACGAAUCUCAAUGCUCCAUCUCAUAUUUUAUGGUCCAUUUACAAAAGUAGCGUCUCCUCCCAAACUUUAAUUUACAGUUACUGCUUCAUCUACAAGUGUAGCCUUAUCGGACAGCAGUGUGUCCUCAAUUGCUGACAAAUCUUUUUCAUUCUAAAGAGAUUUUGAAAAAAUAUAUAUAUAAAGGAGAUGAUGUUUCUUCUCGUCAAUUUCGGGCCUUUGAUUUUCAAUGGAGUUCGAUUGAGGCUGAGUCGUGUGAGAUCCGUGUGGAGCUGACGAGCGCGAGUUCCGUCGGAGUUUUGGAGCGUUGGGCACUGGUUUGAUUCGCUGGAAGGGCUUGGGAGACGGUUAUGGAGCUUUAGAGCGAGAUUAUGGUACUGGACCCAGUUGCCCUGAGGUGCAUCAUCUCGGAUCAACUGACUUGGAGACUCGAGAUAGAUCUGCUGGCGUCCGCAGACCUUGAAGUCCCCUUCUAUUUCCCUUAUUUACUGCUCUUUUCAUUCGAGACAGUUGUACUUAUUUCAGACUAUGUUUGUAGAAAUUCUAGAAGCUCGUGAACUUGUGACUCCAGA